CCACGGCUGAGGAGUCCCAUACUAAGACGAAACGGCCGUCCAGUGC
rfam:Schistosoma haematobium scaffold257_20, whole genome shotgun sequence.